UGGCGGACGGGUGAGUAACGCGUAGGAAUCUAUCCUUGGGUGGGGGACAACCGUGGGAAACUACGGCUAAUACCGCAUGAUCCCUGAGGGGCAAAGGCGAAAGUCGCCUGAGGAGGAGCCUGCGUCUGAUUAGGUAGUUGGUGGGGUAAAGGCCUACCAAGCCUGCGAUCAGUAGCUGGUCUGAGAGGAUGAUCAGCCACACUGGGGCUGAGACACGGCCCAGACUCCUACGGGAGGCAGCAGUGGGGAAUAUUGGACAAUGGGCGAAAGCCUGAUCCAGCAAUGCCGCGUGGAUGAAGAAGGUCUUCGGAUUGUAAAGUCCUUUUGGCGGGGACGAUGAUGACGGUACCCGCAGAAUAAGCUCCGGCUAACUUCGUGCCAGCAGCCGCGGUAAUACGAAGGGGGCUAGCGUUGCUCGGAAUGACUGGGCGUAAAGGGCGCGUAGGCGGACGGCACAGUCAGGCGUGAAAUUCCUGGGCUCAACCUGGGGACUGCGUCUGAGACGUGUUGUCUUGAGUAUGGAAGAGGGUUGUGGAAUUUCCAGUGUAGAGGUGAAAUUCGUAGAUAUUGGAAAGAACACCGGUGGCGAAGGCGGCAACCUGGUCCAUUACUGACGCUGAGGCGCGAAAGCGUGGGGAGCAAACAGGAUUAGAUACCCUGGUAGUCCUAGCCGUAAACGAUGGAUACUAAGUGUUGAACGAAUCAAACGUUCAGUGCUGCAGCUAACGCGUUAAGUAUCCCGCCUGGGGAGUAUGCUCGCAAGGGUGAAACUCAAAGGAAUUGACGGGGGCCCGCACAAGCGGUGGAGCAUGUGGUUUAAUUCGAUGCAACGCGAAGAACCUUACCAGGGCU
rnacentral:rRNA from 1 species